rnacentral:lncRNA from 13 species
CAGGAGGUUUCCUCAACAUUUUUAUUGGAAUCAGAACAUCCAACAGUUUACAUUUUCAUUCACCCUGCAACCUGCAUUCAUGAUGCCUGGCAGAGUUUGGAUUAACAUGUGGAGACUACCUGAGCCAUUUAAAGUGGAACAACCACAGUAAAGGGUGCAAAAAACGAAAUGAUUGUAUUAGUUUAGAAAAAUGUAUGUUCUUUAUCUUUGUGUAGCGUAAGAUUCAUCAAUUAUUCAAUGUACAGUAGAGCAUGCUGGGAAAAAGUGAAUUUGUUAUCAUAACUUUUUUUAAAUGUAGUUGGGGAUUUCUCAUUUAGUUUUGAAUCAGUACCAAGUAAUAAUUACUUUUCAUUGACUUUGAGUUCAACGUUCUAUAAGUAUUUGAGUUAAAAAUGUCUUGGGGGUUUACAGUAAUGGACUAGUCACUGACAUCAUGUAUCCUGCCUGCAGCGGUUCCCUGCCUGUGAAGGACCCGGUGGUUGACAGUGGUCUCCAGUCUACCAGGCUGUGAUCCAGCAACACGACAGAGACGAGGAGAUGGCCGAGUUGGCCAGACGGGCUGCCAAUCUGCAGUCCAAGAGCUUCAGGAUCCUGGCCCACCUCACCGGCACAGAAUAAAGUCAGUACACCUCUACUCAACUCUCUCUCUCUCCUUCCCUCUUUACCCCCCUGUCACCUCUGUACCUCUGAUGACUUCAUGCAUAGAUGUAUUUUCUUCAUGUUUUAUGGAUCCUCACCUCUCUUCUCCCACUUCUCCCUCCCUUUCUCUUCUUCCCCUCCGCCCCUCUUUUUCUCCCCCUUCUCUGUCUUCAGUGCAAGACCCAGAUGAGGAGGCCCUGCAGAGAUCAAGUUUGAGUCGGAGGUGAAAGGACCUCGCUUUCGCAAGCUGAAGAACUGGCACAACGGUCUCUCAGCUCAGAUCCUCAACAUCCCUGAGUCUCCCUUCUAAUUGAUCUGUCAGAUCUAUCCUUUACCGUUGGAAUGUUUGGAAUGCUUAGAAUGUUUAGAAUGUUGGGAAUGCUUAGAAUGUUUGGAAUGUUUAGAAUGUUGGGAAUGCUUAGAAUGUUUGGAAUGUUUAGAAUGUUUGGGAUGUAUUUCCUUUUUCUUUCUUUUUGGUUGUUCUGUCUCUUCUAACUGAUAUGGAACUGUACAAAAACAUAUUUAAGAGAAAUUGUAAAAGUUAUCAUGUAAAAACACACGCUUGCGACCACGCACAAAUGCACACACUUAUUUACGCAUGCUAAAUUAACACAAAUGCACAGACAAAUACAUAAGAAUUUACAAACACCCACAAAUUUGAAAUGUACUAUUAUCAACGUGAAUAAAUAUUUUCUUUAAACCAAAUUAGCUGUGUGAGUGUUGGUCAUGUGUCUCUGGUAGGUUUUUCUCAAUUUACAGAUAUGGCCUCAGACACCUGGUGAUCAACUAUUUUUUUUAAAUAUACAGUGCCUUGCGAAAGUAUUCGGCCCCCUUGAACUUUGCGACCUUUUGCCACAUUUCAGGCUUCAAACAUAAAGAUAUAAAACUGUAUUUUUUUGUGAAGAAUCAACAACAAGUGGGACACAAUCAUGAAGUGGAACGACAUUUAUUGGAUAUUUCAAACUUUUUUAACAAAUCAAAAACUGAAAAAUUGGGCGUGCAAAAUUAUUAUUCAAGGGUUUUUCUUUAUUUGGACUAUUUAUCUACAUUGUAGAAUAAUAGUGAAGACAUUACAACUAGAUAAUAACACAUGUGGAAUCAUGAUAUAACCAAAAAAGUGUUAAACAUAUCAAAAUAUCUUUUUUAUUUGAGAUUCUUCAAAGUAGCCACCCUUUGCCUUGAUGACAGCUUUAAACACUCUUGGCAUUCUCUCAACCAGCUUCAUGAUGUAGUCACCUGGAGUGCAUUUCAAUUAACACAUGUGCCUUGUUAAAUGUUCAUUUGUGGAAUUUCUUUCCUUCUUAAUGCGUUUGAGCCAAUUAGUUGUGACAAGGUAGGGGGGUAUACAUAAGAUAUCCCUUUGGCAAGAACAGCUCAAAUAAGCAAAGAUAAAUGACAGUCCAUCAUUACUGAAAGACAUGAAGGUCAGUCAAUCCGGAUAAUUUCAAGAACUUUGAAAGUUUCUUCAAGUGCAGUC